AUGACAUAUGGUUUUAUAGAUUAUUAUAUAAUUAUUAGUAUACAAAAAGUUAUCCCGCUAUUCGGGAUUCCACUAUUCCAACUAUUUUCACUUUUGGAGGUCGGCUGCUCCGCUCCGCUAUCCGGGAUUAAUAACUCUGUCCACAGUUCUAAAAUGUUAUUCGAGCCAGAUUCAAGAAUUAAGAUCCGUUGGACCCACCUGCUCUCUACUUUCUGCUAUCACGUUAUCCACCAUUUAUAUCCACACUCUAGAUGUCUAGUAUUUGGAAAUGCCGCAAUUAGGUGA